AGCAGCCGCGGUAAUACGUAGGUGGCAAGCGUUAUCCGGAAUUAUUGGGCGUAAAGCGCGCGUAGGCGGUUUUUUAAGUCUGAUGUGAAAGCCCACGGCUCAACCGUGGAGGGUCAUUGGAAACUGGAAAACUUGAGUGCAGAAGAGGAAAGUGGAAUUCCAUGUGUAGCGGUGAAAUGCGCAGAGAUAUGGAGGAACACCAGUGGCGAAGGCGACUUUCUGGUCUGUAACUGACGCUGAUGUGCGAAAGCGUGGGGAUCAAACAGGAUUAGAUACCCUGGUAGUCCACGCCGUAAACGAUGAGUGCUAAGUGUUAGGGGGUUUCCGCCCCUUAGUGCUGCAGCUAACGCAUUAAGCACUCCGCCUGGGGGAGUACGACCGCAAGGUUGAAACUCAAAGGAAUUGACGGGGACCCGCACAAGCCGGUGGAGCAUGUGGUUUUAAUUCGAAGCAACGCGAAAGAACCUUACCAAAUCUUGACAUCCUCUGACCCCUCUAGAAGAUAGAGUUUUCCCCUUCGGGGGACAGA
rnacentral:rRNA from 1 species